GCCUCUGUGCCGUAAUGAUAGGCCACCGGCCUCCUAAGCCGUGGUUGCGAGUUCGAGUCUCGCCUGAGUUA
rnacentral:tRNA from 1 species